CACCGCCCGUCACACCAUGGAAGCCAGCUGUACCGGAAGUCGGUGCGCCAACCCGCAAGGGAGGUAGUCGCCUAUGGUAUGACUGGUGACUGGGGUG
rnacentral:rRNA from 1 species